GCCCGCUCGCUCGAGCUCGGCGCGGACCCGCCCGGGAGCGCUCCUCGCAGCAGCUGCCCGGGUUCCCACCGCCCUACCGGGCGCGAGCGAUCAGACUACCUCGGAGGGCGCGCUCAGACACCCAGAUGUCCGGCCACCUCAGUGGGUACCCUCGGCACCCUGUGAUCCGACCACCCGCGGAGGCGCGCUAGCCCUCUGGGUGGGCGUGCUGGGCUUCUCUGCGGCGGAAGUCUGGACCACAGAUUGUGACUUCUUUUCUAGCAGUAGGUGUUGACUGGUCCGACUGCUGCCCUUCUGCCCAAGAGUAGUUCAAACUGUAAGUUCAGCAAACUAAAUAAUUAAAUAUUGAUAGUUUUAGAGAUCUAUACUGAUUUUCCAGUCUGUCUACUCAAGAUUCCGGCUUCCUAAGAGGGGAGCGAGGGUGGAGACCAUCGCCUGGAGGGGUGUGUGACAUGGGGACAUUUAUUGACAACCCAGCAGUAUGACUUUCUAUGAACUGCUUAGGCCAUUGCAGCCAUUGGCCCGCUUCCUUCUGAGCUCUUUCUUGCUACAUUGUAAUACUACGUGAAGCUUCGUUGUAGCUUUUGACUGACUUCCUUCUGAGCUCUUCUUUGCUACAUUGUAAUGCGACAUGAAGCUUUGGCAUCUGGGUAAUGCUGAAUUGGUAUUUCCCAGAUGUCUUUUUCUUUCUGGAUAGCCUUGUGUGCUCUCAUAUCUUGGUUCAAGCAGAUGGCUCUUAAUAUGUAGAUACCUCCAGAUCCAGGAGCUGAAUUCUUUGGGGUCGGAUGAAAUUCUGUGGUUAGCAAUUUAACGUAUACACUAGCCAAAAUGUCGGCUCUCAGCUGACGAAGGCUGUGCUUAUAGAAUACUAUACUAGUAGCUUAUAAAAUGGAAUGUAUUAAAGUACCCAACAAAGAGGCUGCAUAGGGCAAGACUUUACAGACUUCCUGGGACUGGUUCUGCCUUCUCUACCUUAUGGGGUGUCAAGUGCUUCCAAAUGUGACUCUUUAAGCAAGGGGGAUUAUCUGUGCUCUGAAGGGAUUGGUGCUGGGAGAGACACACUGCUGCUUCAUAGGCUUUGACAUGUAACUUAAAAUAUUUUUUAAAAAUUCUCUGGCACUUAAUGCCUUCUGCCAGUGGCUGGGCUCUGAAAAGCUGGUUUUUAAUAGAAAAAACAUUUCUCUUAUCUUAGCUUCUCUCUUGUUUUUCUACCAUCCUGUGUCUGCCUCCUUGUCUAAACCACAAAUUUCUAUAUCAUUCACUUCACUUAGAAAUACCACUUCCAUUUUAUUCCUCUGUAGCUUAUUGCUAGAGCUGCUAAUAGACUUUCAACACAAAUAGUGUAUUGAUCACUGAAAUCUCUUUCGAGCUUGACUGAAUAUACAUAAUGGGGUGUCAAUCGGAGGAAAAUCUCAUAAUAAAUGGCAGGCGACUUAUAUUCAUGAGAAAAAUGUCUUGGGCAGCACACAAAAUAUCAUGCCUACUGUAGCAUGACAGGCUCGCCUCACCGGUCCCGGCCGGUCUCUGUGCAUUCAUGGUGGGUGUUUAAUAGGGAAGGCAGGGUUAGAAUGCCACGUUCCUGAGUCUUUCCUUUGUUUGUGUGAGAGGCAUUUUGUACACUCCACAGAGUAUAAACAUCUUCUAGAAGCACCGCCAGCAAGAAAGAUCUUUUAUACCUGAGGAAUUCAUAAAUUGCAAACAAAUCUGUUUAAGUUGAUGUAUAUUUAAAAUCAGCUACUGAUUUAUGCAGUCCAUAUUUUUAAAUUUUUUACCAUGUGUGUACCAGGGCAUACACACACUGUAUGCAAAUAUUUUCAAUGCAUGUAUGGGAACACACAGUAUAUUUAGAAAGAAGCCUGUUUUACAUAAAUUAUUUUUAAGAGAAACCCAACAGAGGAAUAGCCAUGCAUUAGGAAAGCCACAUUUUAAUCUCUCCACCCCACCCCCCUUUAAGCUUGCUGUUGGAUGGUAUGUGAAGGAAUUUUAUUUUUAUAAUUUUAUAUGAAAUUCUGCUUUUCCUACCAGAAGUCUUGAAUUAUUUCUGCAAACCCAUUACUGGAGAGGCUGAGGCAGGAGGGUAGCAGUGAGUUCAAUGACAGCCUAGGCUGCAGUGUGAAGCCUCGUGUCAAAAAGUUGAAUUUCCAGCCUUGAUGGCCAACACCUUUAAUUACAGCUCUUGGGAAGCAGAAGCAGGGGAGAUCUUGAUGAGUUCCAGGUCAGCCAGAGCUACUGAGCUGGUGAGACCUCAUCCCAAACCAAAACAAAAUGGUCAAUCAAUACAAAGGACAGGGAUGGCUGGGUCCCAGGAUCUUGCUAUCCAGCAAGCCUGGUUUACUUGGCAGACUACAAGCCAAGGAAAGACUCUGUCUCAAAAACCAAGGAAGAUAACACCUGAGGACAACAGCUGGGAUUAACCCUUUAACCCUCACACUCUAAGGCAUGCACAUGCACAUGCACCUACAUAAACACGCACCUACACACACGCACAGUACUAAUAAUAAUACAUAUUGCUCUUCCUGAUAGAGUAGUCUUUGAAAAACUAAGUGUGCUCAGUGAGAAGGGACCUUCAGGGUGGUACCAUCAGUUGGGUGAUGGUAGGCAUUUCUGGCAGGGUCUGGUUCCUUUAUGCACUGACUUGGCAACUGUGGCUGCUGGUUGUCUAUAUAGAAUCCUGCUACCGAGGGAUCAUAGGAGGUCCACAGCAUUAGCUGGCACACUGCUCCGCCCCAUGACAGACCAGAGUGUGGUGUUUUCUCAAUCGAUUGGGUGAGAUACAGCCCAGUUAUAUCGGAUAUGCCACCUCUUCUCUAAGCAAAUGGAGCCAAUGACUUUUGACAUUGCCAAAAAUCAAAUUUUGUUUUUUUAAAUAUAAUAACUCAGCAUAUGCAUGCAUGCAUGCUCGGUGGUGAACAUACCACAGUGUGCUGUGGAAGGCAAAAGACAGCUUGUGGAAGUCAGUUCUCUCCUUCCACCAUAUGAGUUGCAGGGACCAAACUCAGGUAGGCAGGCUUGGCUGCAAGUUCUGAUAUGCUGUGGAUGACGGGGGUGGGGAAGGCAUGCAAAAAAGAAAUUGAUGUUUAGAGAGAUGGCUCAGUAGAUAAGAGCACUUGCCACAUGACCAUGAGAUGCCAGCACAUAUAUAACAAGCUGGACAUGAUCAUAUGUACACCUGUAACUUCCGUACUCGGUGUGGACAGAGACAGGAGGACCAUUGAGGCUUGUGAGCUGCCAGCCUAUCUCCAGGUUCAGUGGGAAAGCCUCCAUAGAGGAGGAUGCUGGGCACACAUAUGCACCCCACACUCGGUAUCAUCACCCUGUAAAUAGAUGUCUGUUUCUGCUUCUUAGAGCAUUUAAGAUGUUUUAACGUGUGAUGUGGUGUGGUUUUUCAUGGUCUCCACCUCAGGAGGCAUUUAUAUUAGUCGGUGUACCAAUGAGGGCAGGUAAGGCUGCUGAGGUAUAGACUUGACAUUCAGCUCCAACCUUCCCUCCCCAUAGCAAGAACUUGCACCGUUUCCCCUGCUGCUUUGAGGAAAUGUUUUUCCCUUGUUUUUAUUGUUUUAAGUUUUUAGAUAGCAAGUGGAUGGGGUACAAAGUUUGCUGAGAAAAUGGAUUACCAGAAAGCUGGUAUUUAGACAUUCAGGGAUGUGCAUUAUGGGUAAGCUUCCCUUACUGUUAAAUGAUUACUAUAAAAUAUGCCUGAUGAAUAAUCUACAUAUAUUAUUAUGCAUGUCAGUAGCUUGGUUCCAAUUAAGAACUGUAUACGGUGUGUGUGGCUUUCCAGAGUCAGUCAGCUGCAUAGUUUAUACUUGGAGACUAUGCUGGUGUGGUUUUAUGAAAGGUAAGUUUAAACUCAGCUGUAAGAACAAGCCUCAUGAAUUUUAACCUGCAGAGAAGUACAUAUGCAAAAGUUGGAAGAAAACUGGGACUUCUUGGAUGUCUGCGAUGAAAGAGAAAAUUAAAUCCUAGAGAAAGGAAACUUGGAAAGGGAAGAAAACAUAUGUGCUGCUUGGUCUGCCAUCUUAAACCAGAAGUCUGAAAUACGGGUCUGAAUGCUGCUCGCAAGGAUAUCUUACAUUGAGGAUAGCAGGCACCAGAGACUCUGUACCAUAAACAUUUCCACAAGAAACGGCCUCUAACUGAACCUGGAACUCACUGACUGAACUCGAGUUGCUGUUGAGAAAGCCCCAGGGACUGUUUGGUCUUCUCCCGCUCAAAAUUUGCGAUGCAGGGCCUCCUCAGGCCCAUCAAAGUCUUCCAGGAUCACGCAGAGGACCAUGCCACAGUCGGAAGUGAGGUAAACAAGUCUCCUCAUUGCUAUAUUUUGUAAUUAUCAGACAAGAGAGUGGAGUUCCCGCCUGAAGCCCCUCAGGCCUGUGUGAAGCUUAACCAUGUAUGUACUCAAUGUAGGUGUGAUCAGUUUUCAGAUCCAUGCAAAUGUGAGCUGACUUUCCCCUGAUGUUUGCUGAGUGCAUGCCAACAGCAUUCUGCAUGGCUAACCUGCCUCAGCAACCAAAUCCCUGGAACUGUCAUAUGCAGAGGGUCUGUGGUGUGGCCAUUUUAUAAAUGAGCCACGGGAAGGCCAGAGAAAGAAACAGCAUGCUCCAAGUCAGAGCAGAAGGCAGCUUCCCUAGGAUCUGUUUAAUGUUUGCUUCUUUACAACACAGGAUCUCGUGAAACCCAAGCUAGCCUCAGACUCAACUGCAUAGCUGAGGAUACCCUUGAACUUGAUUCUCUAAUAUUUCUACCUCAUACCCAGUUCAUGAGGUAAUGCGGAUAGAACCCAGGGCUUCCUGAAUACUAGGAAGGCACUCUACCAACUGAGCUACAUCCCCAGAUCCUCCUCUGGGGAUAAGCCCAGGUUCAAAUCCAAGGCCUUAACAACAUCGGGACACGGACAUAAGACACAGCACUCUACUGGACCUGGGCAUGCUCCUACCCUGUCUAGUGAUCGCAAAAGCCAUCUUUUUAACAGCCCGCGUUAUGAUUCUACCAUCAGACCAGAGAGGCCCUAGAUAGCCCAGCUUCCCAUUGUAAGUCAUCUUCGACAUGUUUAACCGAUGGCUGUGUGGGACUGCUAGAAAGUUUGGAAAUCACCAAGCGCUUUGACUUUCCUGCCCACAAAAACAGUUGGCCUUGGCAGAUGUCCAACGCGUUGACCUUAGAUCCAUUUAAUGAAAACCCUAUUAAUUCAAAAAGAAAGAAAGAAAAUAAGGCAAAAUAGGACAGGCAGUAGAAAGAUCUUUACAAAAAUCUUGUGUGCCCUUCCUCCACUGUUGCCUUGACCAGACAGGGCCACAAAGCUGAUACGACAGGAUUAGGACAAUUGCUUUGUUAACACACAAGCACAGCGUGACAUGAACUCCAGGAAAGGCAUUUGGCAGGAUUAACCUGCUGAGGAUAAAGAUGUAGCAGACGGGACCUGAAUUAAUGGACUGGUAUGGCCAAAGUGGAGAAAUCUAUUUGCAUGUAAUAUUAACUGUACUAAUAAACUCCAGGCGGGGAUCCAACAGCCCGGGAGCCUCUUUGAACCAGGACUUGAUCCCUGUACAUCCUAUCUCUGCUAAGAUGUGUGAGUGUAAGCCGGCUGCCUGCAGAUUACCACUCUGUCCUUGGUGCCUGCAAUAGCACAAGCCCUUUACUGACUGCAACUCAAGCAGAUCCCACUUACAAUAUUAUUUACAACCUAUGGAAAAGCAAUGAAGAAAUGCAGGUUCAACACAUGUAGAAAAUAUCCACCAGGGCCUGGAGAGAUGGCUCAGUAAUUAAGAGCCCUGGCUAUUCCUCCAGAGGACCCGGGUUCAAUUUGUAGCAUCCAUGGGGCAGCUAAGAGUCAUCUAAAGCCCAUCUGAAGCCCUCUUCUGACAUCUGCAGGCAUGGUGCAUACAUGGUACAUACACACACAUGCAAAACACAUAAAAUAAAAAAAUAUAAAAUUUAAGAAGAAAAUGCCUACCUGACCCAGGCUGUUGGCCUGACUUGUAUAUUCUGAUUCCUUGAAAGUCUGUGUGGGGCUAGGGUGAGCAAGCAGACACCUGGGAUGUGACAUUUCAAGGAGGUACCACAGUCUGGCUCAGUCUCAGAACAAGGUGAGUGCCUAAAGAUUCAUGCAUUGCCCCUCAGACUGCCCUACUGCAGGUUACCAUAGGAACAGUAUAAUCUAUACCCAUUCAAAAUCAAUACACUUACAACAGAUAGCUGGAUGUUGGGCGGUGUGGUGGAGGAGAAGAAUGUAGGUGGGUGGGGACCUCUGAGGGGUCCUAUAAAAUACAUCUCAGAUCAUUGCAAUCAAAGAGCAAGAGAGCCUGGUAUUUAUCUACCAGCUCUUUACUGUAUCUGGCUCAGAGAGUAAUUCCCCACCAUGCAGACUAGACAUUCUCCCCCAAAGAAGCUAGGGAACCUAGAGCAACAGCCUAUGUACAAGAAUGCCUAGGCCAUAUGGAGUGUAAAAAGGUGUGAGUCAGGGUAUGAGUGACACCCACUUAAAGUUCUUGUGUACUUCAACAAAGAACUGGACUAGGAACACUGAAUAAAGAUUGA
rnacentral:lncRNA from 1 species